rfam:Marine metagenome 1093018627895, whole genome shotgun sequence.
CCAUCUGUAUCACCAGAUGACCCUAUGGUUCUGAAUAAAGCAGCGAGCCAAACAAUGUAACAAAGCCAAUUUGGCGGGAAACAAAUCGUGAGAGGCGUUUCUUCCUGAUAACCACAAUUGGGUAAGUGC